AUUGAACGCUGGCGGCAGGCCUAACACAUGCAAGUCGAGCGAGCGGCGGACGGGGGAGUAAUGUAUGGGGACUGCCCGAUAGAGGGGGAUAACUACUGGAAAAGGUAGCUAAUACCGCAUAGUAUCGGAUAACCCAUAUGGGAUUAGCGAGUAGGUGAGGUAAUGGCUCACCUAGGCGACGAUCACUAGCGGGUCUGAGAGGAUGAUCAGCCACACUGGGACUGGGACACGGCCCAGACUCCUACGGAGGCAGCAGUGGGGAAUAUUGCACAAUGGGCGCAAGCCGGAUGCAGCCAUGCCGCGUGUAUGAAGAAGGCCUUAGGGUUGUAAAGUACUUUCAGUCGGGAGGCGUUACCGACAGAAGAAGCACCGGCUAACUCCGUGCCAGCAGCCGCGGUAAUAC
rnacentral:rRNA from 1 species